ACUUUAGGUAAUAGCUGUGGAAGGGUGAACCGGGAUUCCUGGUGAGGGAUGGUGAGUCCGUGCAGUCUCGCUGACCAGGUAGCUUCUGAGGAAGGCAACUGAUCUGGGACCUGGGUAGCAAGAAAGAUAGAGGGAGAGCAGACUAAAGAGUAAACUGUCUGUGCAAAGGCCCUGCGGCAGAGACAAGCUUCAGGGUGUCCACUGUGGCUGGAGCAGAGGGCAAGGAGUGGGACUGAAGAGAAGGCAAACCUCCGUUCUAGCCCCGCCCCCUCGGUGGACUGCCCCCUUCUGUGUGUGCUCUCCUUGGGCUGGCGCUGGCAGCAGUUCUUGGGAAUGAAGCUAUUUUUAGAUACGACUCUCCUCUCCUGUGGGCCUAGAACAUACCGUGUCUUUUAAAGAUGAUCAAUAUGGGCUGACACUAUUUAUAGAGACCCCAUGUCAACUCCUGGGGCCUGGGACCCCCAGACUUUGGGGACAGGCAUCACAGUACAAACCUCAGAGAGAUUGGCCUAGACUCCUAGGUCUAUCUUCUACUCUCGAGGGACAGACAGGGGCACCAAGGACCUUGGAGCCUUCCACUCACCCCUGGAUCAGAAAGACCUGUCCAGGACAGACAGAAGACAAGCUUGGAACGGAGGUCCAGACUCCCCUCUCCAGAGUCAGUCACUAUGGAACAACAGGAAGCCUGCCUGGAGGAGACAGGCCUGGAAUCUACCGGGGGAGACUGCAAGGGAGGGCUGGGCUUGGU
rnacentral:lncRNA from 1 species